rnacentral:rRNA from 1 species
UACGUAGGGUGCGAGCGUUAAUCGGAAUUACUGGGCGUAAAGCGUGCGCAGGCGGUUCGUUGUGUCGGCGGUGAAAGCCCCGGGCUCAACCUGGGAAUGGCCGUUGAAACUGGCGAACUGGAGUGUGGCAGAGGGGGGUGGAAUUCCGCGUGUAGCAGUGAAAUGCGUAGAGAUGCGGAGGAACACCGAUGGCGAGGGCAGCCCCCUGGGCUGACACUGACGCUCAGGCACGAAAGCGUGGGGAGCAAACAGG